ACUAAGCGUACACGGUGGAUGCCCUGGCAGUCAGAGGCGAUGAAGGACGUGCUAAUCUGCGAUAAGCGUCGGUAAGGUGAUAUGAACCGUUAUAACCGGCGAUUUCCGAAUGGGGAAACCCAGUGUGAUUCGUCACACUAUCAUUAACUGAAUCCAUAGGUUAAUGAGGCGAACCGGGGGAACUGAAACAUCUAAGUACCCCGAGGAAAAGAAAUCAACCGAGAUUCCCCCAGUAGCGGCGAGCGAACGGGGAGCAGCCCAGAGCCUGAAUCAGUGUGUGUGUUAGUGGAAGCGUCUGGAAAGGCGCGCGAUACAGGGUGACAGCCCCGUACACAAAAAUGCACAUGCUGUGAGCUCGAUGAGUAGGGCGGGACACGUGGUAUCCUGUCUGAAUAUGGGGGGACCAUCCUCCAAGGCUAAAUACUCCUGACUGACCGAUAGUGAACCAGUACCGUGAGGGAAAGGCGAAAAGAACCCCGGCGAGGGGAGUGAAAAAGAACCUGAAACCGUGUACGUACAAGCAGUGGGAGCACGCUUAGGCGUGUGACUGCGUACCUUUUGUAUAAUGGGUCAGCGACUUAUAUUCUGUAGCAAGGUUAACCGAAUAGGGGAGCCGAAGGGAAACCGAGUCUUAACUGGGCGUUAAGUUGCAGGGUAUAGACCCGAAACCCGGUGAUCUAGCCAUGGGCAGGUUGAAGGUUGGGUAACACUAACUGGAGGACCGAACCGACUAAUGUUGAAAAAUUAGCGGAUGACUUGUGGCUGGGGGUGAAAGGCCAAUCAAACCGGGAGAUAGCUGGUUCUCCCCGAAAGCUAUUUAGGUAGCGCCUCGUGAAUUCAUCUCCGGGGGUAGAGCACUGUUUCGGCAAGGGGGUCAUCCCGACUUACCAACCCGAUGCAAACUGCGAAUACCGGAGAAUGUUAUCACGGGAGACACACGGCGGGUGCUAACGUCCGUCGUGAAGAGGGAAACAACCCAGACCGCCAGCUAAGGUCCCAAAGUCAUGGUUAAGUGGGAAACGAUGUGGGAAGGCCCAGACAGCCAGGAUGUUGGCUUAGAAGCAGCCAUCAUUUAAAGAAAGCGUAAUAGCUCACUGGUCGAGUCGGCCUGCGCGGAAGAUGUAACGGGGCUAAACCAUGCACCGAAGCUGCGGCAGCGACGCUGAUGCGUUGUUGGGUAGGGGAGCGUUCUGUAAGCCUGUGAAGGUGUGCUGUGAGGCAUGCUGGAGGUAUCAGAAGUGCGAAUGCUGACAUAAGUAACGAUAAAGCGGGUGAAAAGCCCGCUCGCCGGAAGACCAAGGGUUCCUGUCCAACGUUAAUCGGGGCAGGGUGAGUCGACCCCUAAGGCGAGGCCGAAAGGCGUAGUCGAUGGGAAACAGGUUAAUAUUCCUGUACUUGGUGUUACUGCGAAGGGGGGACGGAGAAGGCUAUGUUGGCCGGGCGACGGUUGUCCCGGUUUAAGCGUGUAGGCUGGUUUUCCAGGCAAAUCCGGAAAAUCAAGGCUGAGGCGUGAUGACGAGGCACUACGGUGCUGAAGCAACAAAUGCCCUGCUUCCAGGAAAAGCCUCUAAGCAUCAGGUAACAUCAAAUCGUACCCCAAACCGACACAGGUGGUCAGGUAGAGAAUACCAAGGCGCUUGAGAGAACUCGGGUGAAGGAACUAGGCAAAAUGGUGCCGUAACUUCGGGAGAAGGCACGCUGAUAUGUAGGUGAAGCGACUUGCUCGUGGAGCUGAAAUCAGUCGAAGAUACCAGCUGGCUGCAACUGUUUAUUAAAAACACAGCACUGUGCAAACACGAAAGUGGACGUAUACGGUGUGACGCCUGCCCGGUGCCGGAAGGUUAAUUGAUGGGGUCAGCGCAAGCGAAGCUCUUGAUCGAAGCCCCGGUAAACGGCGGCCGUAACUAUAACGGUCCUAAGGUAGCGAAAUUCCUUGUCGGGUAAGUUCCGACCUGCACGAAUGGCGUAAUGAUGGCCAGGCUGUCUCCACCCGAGACUCAGUGAAAUUGAACUCGCUGUGAAGAUGCAGUGUACCCGCGGCAAGACGGAAAGACCCCGUGAACCUUUACUAUAGCUUGACACUGAACAUUGAGCCUUGAUGUGUAGGAUAGGUGGGAGGCUUUGAAGUGUGGACGCCAGUCUGCAUGGAGCCGACCUUGAAAUACCACCCUUUAAUGUUUGAUGUUCUAACGUUGACCCGUAAUCCGGGUUGCGGACAGUGUCUGGUGGGUAGUUUGACUGGGGCGGUCUCCUCCUAAAGAGUAACGGAGGAGCACGAAGGUUGGCUAAUCCUGGUCGGACAUCAGGAGGUUAGUGCAAUGGCAUAAGCCAGCUUGACUGCGAGCGUGACGGCGCGAGCAGGUGCGAAAGCAGGUCAUAGUGAUCCGGUGGUUCUGAAUGGAAGGGCCAUCGCUCAACGGAUAAAAGGUACUCCGGGGAUAACAGGCUGAUACCGCCCAAGAGUUCAUAUCGACGGCGGUGUUUGGCACCUCGAUGUCGGCUCAUCACAUCCUGGGGCUGAAGUAGGUCCCAAGGGUAUGGCUGUUCGCCAUUUAAAGUGGUACGCGAGCUGGGUUUAGAACGUCGUGAGACAGUUCGGUCCCUAUCUGCCGUGGGCGCUGGAGAACUGAGGGGGGCUGCUCCUAGUACGAGAGGACCGGAGUGGACGCAUCACUGGUGUUCGGGUUGUCAUGCCAAUGGCACUGCCCGGUAGCUAAAUGCGGAAGAGAUAAGUGCUGAAAGCAUCUAAGCACGAAACUUGCCCCGAGAUGAGUUCUCCCUGACUCCUUGAGAGUCCUGAAGGAACGUUGAAGACGACGACGUUGAUAGGCCGGGUGUGUAAGCGCAGCGAUGCGUUGAGCUAACCGGUACUAAUGAACCGUGAGGCUUAACC
rnacentral:rRNA from 1 species